GAGACAGCAGUCGCCGCGGGAAUACGAAGGGGGCUAGCGUUGUUCGGAUUUACUGGGCGUAAAGCGCACGUAGGCGGAUCGAUCAGUCAGGGGUGAAAUCCCAGAGCUCAACUCUGGAACUGCCUUUGAUACUGUCGAUCUGGAGUAUGGAAGAGGUGAGUGGAAUUCCGAGUGUAGAGGUGAAAUUCGUAGAUAUCAGGAGGAACACCUGUGGCGAAAGCGGCUCACUGGACUAUAACUGACGCUGAUGCACGAAAGCUAGGGGAGCAAACAGGAUUAGAUACCCGGGUAGUCCCUGUCUCUUAUAC
rnacentral:rRNA from 1 species